GAUGAACGCUGGCGGCGUGCCUAAUACAUGCAAGUCGAGCGAACGGACGAGAAGCUUGCUUCUCUGAUGUUAGCGGCGGACGGGUGAGUAACACGUGGAUAACCUACCUAUAAGACUGGGAUAACUUCGGGAAACCGGAGCUAAUACCGGAUGAUAUUUUGAACCGCAUGGUUCAAAAGUGAAAGACGGUCUUGCUGUCACUUAUAGAUGGAUCCGCGCUGCAUUAGCUAGUUGGUAAGGUAACGGCUUACCAAGGCAACGAUGCAUAGCCGACCUGAGAGGGUGAUCGGCCCCACUGGAACUGAGACACGGUCCAGACUCCUACGGGAGGCAGCAGUAGGGAAUCUUCCGCAAUGGGCGAAAGCCUGACGGAGCAACGCCGCGUGAGUGAUGAAGGUCUUCGGAUCGUAAAACUCUGUUAUUAGGGAAGAACAUAUGUGUAAGUAACUGCGCACAUCUUGACGGUACCUAAUCAGAAAGCCACGGCUAACUACGUG
rnacentral:rRNA from 1 species